CAGUCGCCGCGGUAAUACGAAGGGUGCAAGCGUUACUCGGAAUUACUGGGCGUAAAGCGUGCGUAGGUGGUGGUUUAAGUCCGUUGUGAGAGCCCUGGGCUCAACCUGGGAAUUGCAGUGGAUACUGGGUCACUAGAGUGUGGUAGAGGAUAGUGGAAUUUCCGGUGUAGCAGUGAAAUGCGUAGAGAUCGGAAGGAACAUCUGUGGCGAAGGCGACUAUCUGGGCCAACACUGACACUGAGGCACGAAAGCGUGGGGAGCAAACAGGAUUAGAGACCCCUGUAGUCCCUGUCUCUUAUAC
rnacentral:rRNA from 1 species